GGAUGGAGAGAGAGAGAGAGAGGAAGGGUAAAGAUGGAAGGGGAGAGGAGAUGAAGGGCAGUGAUGCUGAUGUAGACAGGAGGAGGAGGAGGAGGAGGAGGGCGGCUCGGCUCCAGAUGUCGAGGCUGAAGGACCUGAAAGCUCUCUGCUAUCUGCUCUCCACAAAUACUGAGUUCAUCAUGUUCUUCAACCAGUCAUUCUUGUCUCAAUCUGUAAAUUCAGACCCUCUAAUAAAUGUGCUGGUGGUCAUUUUGGAAA